GCGAACGGGUGAGUAAUGCAUCGGAACGUGCCCAGUCGUGGGGGAUAACUGCUCGAAAGAGCAGCUAAUACCGCAUACGACCUGAGGGUGAAAGCGGGGGACCGUAAGGCCUCGCGCGAUUGGAGCGGCCGAUGUCAGGUUAGCUAGUUGGUGGGGUAAAGGCCUACCAAGGCAACGAUCUGUAGUUGGUCUGAGAGGACGACCAGCCACACUGGGACUGAGACACGGCCCAGACUCCUACGGGAGGCAGCAGUGGGGAAUUUUGGACAAUGGGCGCGAGCCUGAUCCAGCAAUGCCGCGUGCAGGAAGAAGGCCUUCGGGUUGUAAACUGCUUUUGUCAGGGAAGAGAUCUUCUGGGCUAAUACCCCGGGAGGAUGACGGUACCUGAAGAAUAAGCACCGGCUAACUACGUGCCAGCAGCCGCGGUAAUACGUAGGGUG
rnacentral:rRNA from 1 species